rnacentral:rRNA from 1 species
UAAGCGGAGGAAAAGAAACUAACAAGGAUUCCCCUAGUAACGGCGAGGGUGAAGUGGGAAAAGCUCAACUUUGAAAUCUGGUACUUUCAGUAUCCGAAUUGUAGUCUCAAGAAGUGUUUUCUGUGCCGGUCCAUGUAUGAGUCUGUUGGAACACAGCGUCAUAGAGGGUGACAACCCCGUUCAUGACAUGGAUCCCGGUGCUUUGUGAUACACUCUCGAAGAGUCGAGUUGUUUGGGAAUGCAGCUCAAAUUGGGUGGUAAAUUCCAUCUAAAGCUAAAUAUUGGCGAGAGACCGAUAGCAAACAAGUACCGUGAGGGAAAGAUGAAAAGCACUUUGGAAAGAGAGUUAACAGUACGUGAAAUUGUUGAAAGGGAAACGAUUGAAGUCAGACGUGCGUGAUGCGGUUCAGCUUUAGUUCGCUAGAGUGUACUCCGUAUCUUUGCAGGCCAGCAUCGGUUUUGUUAGUCGGAUAAAGGUUUGAGAAAUGUGGCAUCUUCGGAUGUGUUAUAGUCUCAGACUGAAUACGAUUGAUGGGACCGAGGAACGCAGCGCGCCGCAAGGCCAAAGGUUCCGACCUUUUCGCGCUUAGGAUGCUGGUGAAAUGGCUUUAAACGACCCGUCUUGAAACACG